rnacentral:tRNA from 1 species
GGGGAGAUACCCUAGCGGCCAAAGGGAGCAGACUGUAAAUCUGCCGGCGAAGCCUACGGAGGUUCGAAUCCUUCUCUCCCCACCA